UUACUCCCCGAUUUUUCGGUAACUCGCAAGGUCCGAGACUACCGCCCGACUAGCGCCUAGCGUAGUUCCGAACAGGAGAUCAAAGUAGAUGAAGAUGUCAAUCGGAGAAGAUAUUUUUUUGCAUGAAGGGACAAGUGUCGCGCUCUAGUUGACUCAUUUUCUGACGUGGUGGCUUAUAAAGAGAGAAUUCUCUUCUUUAUAUAGAUAGAUUUCACCAUAAUUAUAAAAUGGAUAGUUUUCUUCCUUUUUUGUUUUUAUUUUACAGAUAAUAAACAUCAUUAUUUUUGCUAUAAUUCUUGUUCAUUUAAAAUAAUUUCAUAUAGUCGUAAAUACUUAUCUAUAUUAAUAAAAUAGACUUGUCUCUCUCCUCGUACGUCCACAUCAGCAAGAAGAGGUGGGCAAAAGAUGACACGUAAGCACCUUCUUUUGCGUAUGAAAGUUACUUUGAUCUUUAUGUGGGCCACUCAGUUAUUGGUUUAGAAGAGGCUAGGCCUAAUCUCACACUCGAUAAAACAGAUUUAUUUCCCAAAAAUUAUUUAUCUGAUAGGCCUAAUAUUAUACACUUGAACCAAGCCCAAAUAUCCAUCUCGAGUAUUCUUCUUCAAUCGUCUUUUCCUCCUCACAUCCUCUUCAUUCAAUGGCGAUAACAAUUCAGAGUUGUAACAGUUUUCGUUGUCAUUGAAUCCUUCUCAUAAAUUUCUCCAUUAAGUCUCUCAUUCAAGCUUCAAGCUCUCCCACGACGUUUCAAUUUUUUCUUACCUCAACAGCUCAACCCCAUCUCAAAUCCCUAAUUUCAACCACUAUAAAUAAGGAUGCAGAAUACUGCAGAUUUCCUGCUUCACUUGAUUCAACCAUUCUGCUUCCUUGCACAUACAUCCUGCAUGUGUCAUCCCAUUCUUUCUUUCCGAUUUGAAGCACGGUUGUUGUCCUCAGACGGUGGGGACGCGUCUCCUGCAUUUGCCUCUGGGAAGCAAGCAAUUUCCAGAAAAGAGGAGAGCUCAUGGGAGUCGACAUUGCUCUUGCUUGAUGAAAAAUUCUCUUUAGCCAAAACUUCAUCUCCUGAAUCAUCUACAUCUGAUAUGGUAGAAGAAAUAUAUGUGACAGCUGAGGGUAGUGAAUGAUGUUGAUCCUGAAAGAAAAAUUAUGAAAGCCCCAAAAGCUGGAGACAAAGCUUCUAAAGAAGCAAUAGAAAUUUGUACAAAAGUUUUUUGUAGGUAAAUACUAUAUAACUGUUUCUUGAUAAUUAAAGUUUGAUUUCAUAUAUAUUGGCACUUAGGUCGUAUGAUUUACGAUUUAAUUAUGGCUGCACAAGACCAAACCCCAUGGAAUUUAGUUACAUAUUAUUUCUUCCACUGCUCUCCUACUCUGCCCCUUUUGCAAUAUAUCAUCAAUAAUAAAAGGUAUGUGUCAUAAGAGAAACUUUUCAGUAUGUUUUGGUUGUAGUUUUGCAAAAACUUUUGGUGUUUGAUAUUUAUUUCAAAGGGAAUUUGUAUUUUGUUUACUGUUGAGAUAUAUAUACGGUCCCACAA